UAGCGCAGUGCAUGAUAAGGCAAGCUUUGAAUGAUGAAUUUAGAUUUUGAAUCAUAUCAAAUCCACUGAUAUUGGCCUGUACAGAUUUGAAGAGCAUAACAGGGAAAUUAUGUAAGGACAAUCCGCAUAAAGAAUCUGUGAUUAUUUUUCUUUCCAAUACUGAAUAUCAUGAGGUAAAACAAUCUCACGAAAAGCGUAGAACUAUCCUAAACCGACAAACAAACACUCGUAUGUGGUCUAUUAUGAUCAAAAUAAUUUUCUUUUUUAAACAAAAUUAUGAAUAGCAUACAAAUACAUAAUAUUCUUUAAUUCUUCGUGUCCUUCCAAGACUAAGUGAUAGCGAAUGUUUUUGUUUUUUGUUUUUGAACAACAGUGAUAGCGAAUGUAUGUUGACAUGCUAAAACAUAUUUGGUGGAACAGAGGUCUAUCAUGAUUGGUGCGAAUAAUCCAUGGAAAAUCGAUACCACCAUUGAGUAAACAAACUAAUAUUAUUUUUUUUUUACUUAUUGUUUUAAAAGAGAAUGUUUGGAGUAAAACAGGUUCAUAAAAAUUAUAACAAUAGACUCACGUUCUCAGAACCUGAACAUAAUAGGCUUAAAAGCAUUUGUACUAAAACGAACAAUCUUAAAACGCGAUGCUGAAAAACAUAGCAGUUCUUACCCCUUGGUUACGAUGUGCUUGGCUUUGUGGCGAACCAUACCAGGGAAAUCCUCAAGAGGCACGAACAUUGAUUAGCUUUGUUAUUGACCCAUCCAAUGCAACAAAAAUGGCAGCAUCAGUAUUGUCCGUAACGGCCUCCUGCACCAGGUAUCUGCAACAACAAAAAUUGUGUGAUUCACUUACUGAUCUCAUAACAAAUGCGUAAAACAAAAACUGGAAAAACUUGUUGCGAGGACAGCCCCAAUACUUUAACAGUUCUUUAAAUGGCACAGUUUCAUCGAUAAAAUACCUCUAACUUGCUGAAGCUCAUCUUCUAUCAAUCUACAAAAAGAUUUUUUUUAAAAAAACUUGGAACAAAAUCAAGAAGUAUGAGCCCAAGUAACCUGAAUGCUUUCUUCAAAAUGAGGUGAAAGCUCUUUUAAAUAAUUAUCUGAAACUCUAUAGUCACCUGCAAUACGGCAACGAACAAAUUCAACAAACGAAACCAAAUACCAUCUCCCAAAUAUAUAAACUCAAUCUUUUCAAGACUAUUGAUUAUUGGCAAGUCAGUUCAUACCAAGUCUGAAUCUGGAGGGGCGAGUGGUAAUUCAUCAUCAGGCAAUGGAGAAACAGGCCACCCUUUCUCGGAAUUUUGGAAGACGAUUAUCACCAAUGGUGACCUGAA
rnacentral:lncRNA from 1 species